UCUCUCCUCCCUCCUGCUUUCACAGUGUCCUCCAUCUCUCCGUUUUCUCUCAUUUGCCUAUCCUAAGGACAUUUAUAGUUCCUGCCACUGCUGUGCUAUAUCAUCCAUCCCGUCCUCUUGCAAUAUCUACAAGGUUGUUGGAGAGCAGCACAGAGUCAACCUAAGACAGACUCCAGACCACACCUCUGUCCCUGAGUCCAUGGAAGCCAAGGCCAAGAGCGGGGCCCCAGCGCCCAAAGCAGCAUCUAAAACAGAGAAGAAGGAGCCCGCUGCCCCGCGCAAGGCUGACCCUGCCCCCGUGGUCCCCGAGCCCGAGAACCCCCCUGCCCAGGACGGGGCAGCGGAAGCUGAGGCAGCAACGGAGGCUGAUGAGGCCGCCGCCUCUGGCACAGACUCUCUGGAACACCUGAAACCUUUUCUCAUUGGUGGUGCCAUCAUUGCUGCAGGAGCCAUCUUGCUGGGAGUCUUGCUACUGGCGAGGAGAAAUUAAAAAGCAACUCAGUAUCACAAGCUAUUUAUUGGUUGAUGGGCUAGUGAGUCACAAGCUGAUUGGUUCACAGACUAUAUCAUGGUAGAGAUGGGGGGUGGGGAGCCACUGUGCAUCUUAUGUUUCUUUCAGUCUGACUUUGCUUGUAGUGAAUACAAGACCUUAACAAGGCUUAUGUCAGACAUAACAUAGUAGCCUAUAUGCAUGAAUCUGCUUCACUUCUUUAAUUGCAUUUGAUCUGUAAUAAUUAGUUUCAGAGAAAAAAAUCACUGCUGUACUGAGCUUACUUGCCUAAACUCUCUAAAGCUAGUCUGUUCAGCUGCUUUAUCUUGUUUAAUCUGGUUUGCACAAAUAUUGACAGAAGGAUGCAAUAUUUGUACAUUCUUUCACCAGAAAUAAGCUUGGUUCACUUUGCUAAAAACUGAAUUUCAAACAUUGAAACUUCUCCCACCACAGAUGAAAUCAAGGCACCUGGAUUGGAUUUUACUUUUAACAUAAAAAAAUAUGAGAAAUGAGAAGAAACCUAACCAUAGUAGGGAUUGUGCACUGUCGUGUAUUGGACACAUUUUGGCUAAAUCAGUCCCUCAGUGGCAUUCAGUUCCACUUCCUUCAGAGUUCAGGGAAAGAGACACGGUCCCAGAUCAAUGUGGUGGAACAGAGAACUGCAUAUCUGUCAUUUAUAAAGUCAACUUUAUCAGAGGGAAAAAAACAUAAGCAUGCACUGGUUGUUGUUGAAUGUUUGAGAUAAAAUAUAUACGGUAGUUCACAGUUAUGAGCCAGUGCCAGAGAAAACUAGUCAAGUUACUAUACUGUAGGAUAAGCGAGAGCUUUCCAUUUCAUAGUUAAAUUAUGUCACCAAUCAAUGAUCCUUAACACAUCACACAACGGUAAAAGUCAUGGCUGGUUCAAUCUUUUUACAUCAUAAGUACUUAAAUCUAGCAGCUGGACCAGCCAGUUGUGCUCCAGUGUUAGAGUUUGAACCUGCUGCCAGAACAGUUUUCAACAGAACGGGGCAGGUGUUUCUGUGUUCACUGUGCUCCCUUCGUGUGGCAUUAGGAAAACCCUUUCCUCUCACAACCUCAUAGGAGCCAUUUCCCAUGUAUGCAUCUGAAAUUGUUUUACAAUGAAAGAUGAAAUUCUGUUUGUUGAAUGUCUCCAGUUUCAUCAUCACCGCAUUAAAAUAGAGCCUACUCACAUGUACAGCUCAUUGGGACGUCCCUGUUAAAUAAGUAGUUAGCAAGAAGGAAGUCCCAGUGAUUUGUAAAAUAUUUCUAGGAUUUACAACACAUCGGUGACCAAGAGUCCUCAGUGCAAGCCUACUUCAUCGUAGCUGACACCCCUAGCACUGACAAAAUUUACUUUGCCAACACCAAAACAACCUCCACCUUACAUUGUAUAAUACAGUGUACUAAAUAAAAAAAAUAUAUAUUUAUUUUCAUUAUUUCAAGAGCGUAUAAAUGCAAUAAUUCAGAUAGGAUUCCUCAUUUUAGCACAUGUACUGUAGCAAGUUAACUGACAUUUAUGAUGACGAUAAUGUUGAUAUGAUGGUGAUGAUGAUGGUGAUGAUGAUGAUGAUGGUGGUGAUGACGGUGAUAAUGGUGAUGAUAUAUUCUUGAUAUAUUACUACAACAUAUUUUCCUUAUGCACACUCUCCUCUGCCCCCAAAGCUCCUAAAUGUAAAGAAGUGCUUUCCUUGUAAUCAGACCUUUAUUAAAGGCAAUGAACCAGC